UAAUACCGCAUACGAUCUACGGAUGAAAGCGGGGGACCUUCGGGCCUCGCGCUAUAGGGUUGGCCGAUGGCUGAUUAGCUAGUUGGUGGGGUAAAGGCCUACCAAGGCGACGAUCAGUAGCUGGUCUGAGAGGACGACCAGCCACACUGGGACUGAGACACGGCCCAGACUCCUACGGGAGGCAGCAGUGGGGAAUUUUGGACAAUGGGCGCAAGCCUGAUCCAGCAAUGCCGCGUGUGUGAAGAAGGCCUUCGGGUUGUAAAGCACUUUUGUCUGGAAAGAAAACCUUGGCUCUAAUACAGCCGGGGGAUGACGGUACCGGAAGAAUAAGCACCGGCUAACUACGUGCCAGCAGCCGCGGUAAUACGUAGGGUGCGAGCGUUAAUCGGAAUUACUGGGCGUAAAGCGUGCGCAGGCGGUUCGCUAAGACCGAUGUGAAAUCCCCGGGCUCAACCUGGGAACUGCAUUGGUGACUG
rnacentral:rRNA from 1 species